rnacentral:rRNA from 1 species
UACGGAGGGAGCUAGCGUCAUUCGGAAUUACUGGGCGUAAAGCGCACGUAGGCGGCUUGAUAAGUAAGAGGUGAAAGCCUGGAGCUCAACUCCAGAACUGCCUUUUAGACUGUCUCGCUUGAAUCCAGGAGAGGUGAGUGGAAUUCCGAGUGUAGAGGUGAAAUUCGUAGAUAUUCGGAAGAACACCAGUGGCGAAGGCGGCUCACUGGACUGGUAUUGACGCUGAGGUGCGAAAGCGUGGGGAGCAAACAGG